rnacentral:tRNA from 1 species
AAGACAUUAGUAAAAUGCAAAUUACACCACCUUGUCAAGGUGAAAUCGUGGGUUAAACCCCCACAUGUCUUA